UAAAAAUUAUUAAUAAAGAUUUAUUUAUAAAUUGGAGGACCUAUAUGUAAAUAUAGAAAUUUCAAAGACUAAACUGUUAAGUUGUAAAAAAAAGUAAAUAAAGAAAAACCGAAAAUUUCGGUUUUAUCCCACCGCCUCCCACGCACUCUCUGUUUCUUCGAGAAACAGAGAGGAGCGGUGGGGCAUGAGGAGUGAAGAAAAGAAGAAGAAGAGGGAAAAGAAGAGAGGAGGAAGAAGAGAGGAAGAAGAGGGAGAAGAGAAGAAGAAGAAGAGGAGGUGGCUGCAGCGUGGGCUGCAGCAAGGAGCUGUGGGGCGUGGGGAGAAGAAGAGAGGAAGAAGAGGGAGAAGAGAAGAAGAAGAAGAAGAAGAAGAAGAAGAAGAAGAAGAAGAGAGGAGGAUAGCUGCGGCAAGGCUGCAGCGAGGAGGUGUGUGGCUUUGGGGAGGAAAAGGGAAGAGGAGAAGAAGAGAAGGAGAAGAAGAGGGAAAAGAGAGGCAGCUGCAGCAGCCAGGGCUGCAGCACCUCUGUUCCCGCAGGUGGAAACAGAGGAGAGGAUGUGUGCGGCGUUGAGGAUGAAAAGGGAAGAAGAAGAAGAAGAAGAAGAAGAAGAAGAUAGCUGCGGCAAGGCUGCAGCGAGGAGAUGUGUGGCCUUGGGGAGGAAAAGGGAAGAGGGGAAGAGGAGAAGAAGAAGAAGAGGAAGAGAAAGAGGUGUGAUACCUCUGUUUCCUGCAGAGGAAACAGAGGAGAGGGUGUGUGUGACGCCGGGGAAGAAGGGGCUGCAGCUGCGGCGAUGGCAGCUGCAGCUGGAAGAGAAGAAGAAGAGGAAGAUGAGCAGGGGAGGAGGGAGAGGUUGCGGCCGUGGCUGCGGCCGCGACUGCAGCAGUUGCAGCGGGGAGAGAAGAAGAAGAAAGGAAGGAGAAGGAAGAGGAGAAGGGAAAGAAGUAGCUGCGGCUGCGGUUGUGGCAGCUGCAGCUAUGGCAGGGAAAGAGGAAGAGAAAAAGGAAAGGAAGAAGAAGAGAAAGGGAAGGAGAGGAAGAAGAGAGGAAGAGGAGAAGGGGCUGCGGCUGCGGCGAUGGCAGCUGCAGCUGUGGCAGGGAAAGAGAAAAAGGAAAGGAAGAAGAAGAGAAAGGGAAGGAGAGGAAGAAGAGAGGAAGAGGAGAAGGGGCUGCGGCUGCGGUGAUGGCAGCUGCAGCUGUGGCUGGGAAAGAAGAGAAGGAAAGGAAGAAGAAGAGAAAGGGAAGGAGAGGAAGAAGAGAGGAAGAGGAGAAGGGGUGGCAGCUGCGGUAGUGGCAGCUGCAGUUGGAAGAGAAGUAGGAGAGGAAAUAGAGUAGCAGAGGAAGUAGAGGCUGCGGUUGUGGUGGCUGCGGCCAUGGCUGCGACUGUGACUGCGGCAGUUGCAGCCGGGAAAGAAAGGAAAGGAAAGGGGAAAAAAAGGGGCUGCGGACGGGAUUGCGGCCGCAGCGGCAGCGACUGCGUAUGCAGCAGUUAUGUCUGCGAGAGAAGGGAAGAAGGAAAUAGUACAGUAGAAGGGGGCUGCGGUUGUGACCGCAGUUGCGGUCGUGGCUGCGAUUGUGGCAGCGGCAGCGGCGGCGACUGUGGCAGCUGCGUUUGGGAAAGAAAAAGAAGGAAUGAGAGUAAGAGAGAGCAGGUGACUGUGCCUCGAUGUUCGACACGUGAUGUAGUUACGAAGAAAGGAAGAAAAUGGGAGCACAAAACGAAACAGAGAGAGGACACGGAGGAAAAGUAGAAAGAUUGGAUUGGCACCUUCCUUGGAUAUUCAGAUCAAAAUAUUUGAAAGGCAAGUUCCCUGAUCGUUUCUCCUAUAAUUGCUCUGAUAUGUCUUAUUGCAAGUUCCCUGAUCGUUUCUCCUAUAAUUGCUCUGAUAUGUCUUAUUGCAAGUUCCCUAAUCGUUUCUCCUAUAAUUGCUCUGAUAUGUCUUAUUGCAAGUAUCCUGAUCUUUCCUCACUGUCAAUUUUAUCUCCACAUUUGCUUUGAAUAUGAGGAACUUUGAAUUGUUCUAGCCUUGCAUUUGAUAUAUCUCCUGUUUAGACGUAACGAUUCGAAUCUGUGCAACUUCUGAGAUUCUGACCUUUUGAUACCGAGCUGCCUAUAAGCCUUUGUGGAAACUCUGAUUUGUUCAAAACUGAUUUCAUUGGAACCUAGACUCGUAGACCUUUCCUUGAUAUAUGGAUUGAAAGAUUUGGAAUCUAAACACCUGCCCAGUUAUCUGUUGAAUCUGACAUUAUGAAUUCUGCCAAUAGAGAUUUUGUUCUACGACUCUUGCUUACCAAAUUAUUUGUAACUCUCUCUGUUGGACAUUUCAAUUCAUAUGAAGCCUGUCUUAUCUGAAAGUAUUAUCCAAUGAUUAUUUCUGAGUAAAUUGGAGCACGAUUGAUAGUUUGAAUCAUUUGUUCAAUGUGCCUUCUGUAUUCUGCCAGAAAUCGAGCUUUGGUCGAUUUCUCAUAUUCUGGUUUCAUUCCUUUGGAAAUUGAUAUCCUUUAGCUUUCUUAUUCAAUUGAGCUUUAUAUUACUUCUUUGAAUUCUUGUAUGCUCUUGUCCUAAAAAUUAUUUGCAUUCUUGAAAACUGUUGUGUAACGUUUAUGCUAUAUCAUAUUGACUCAUAUAGGCACAUGUAUAUCCUAUUAUUCCGCAUUUGCUUUCGAUAUGUGCCUAUUCCAGUUUCAUUCCUUUGGACAUUGAAUUCAUCAAAUCUUCUUAUUGAAUUGAGUUAUAUGUGAUUGCUUGGAUUCCAUAUGUGCCAUUGCUUUCAAUUCCUUUCAAAUCUGUAUAUACUUGUGAAAGAUUAUUGCUUACUUCGGAUUGACUCGUAAAGGCACAUGUACGUUUUGUUGUUCCGCGUGUGCUUCCAAUAUAUGCUACUUAUUGUUGAAACUGCCCUUUUGUACUCUGGUGUGUGGGAUUGUCUGGACCUUUGCCAGAAAUGGUAAAGGGUAUGCGCUGAUUUGCCCGCUUUGUGGGGUCCCGCUUUGUGGGAUAUUCUGGUAUGCGCUUAUUUGCCCGCUUUGUGGGGUCCCGCUUUGUGGGAUAUUGCUUAGAGCCUGCGAUGCUCUGCCGGCCCCCUUUGACUUCACCUAGACGUGGGUGGAUGGAGCUCCCAGACGUGGGAGACUUUUGUCAGGUGGUCAUUCAGAAAUGGAUGAAUCACAUUCUGACUGAGAUCCCACUACACCUUCUGUAUGUUUGAUAUGAUAUCCAGAGCUUUGGUUAUGUGUUUCUGUACAUGCUUUGGAUAAGAUUGAUAUGUUUGCAACGUCAAAGACGACGUUUGAGCUUCUGUACGGUAUUUGUUAUUGAUAUGCUCUGAAAUGUUUCCUCCACUGUUGAUAUGUUUCGAAAUGUUCCAUAUGUCGUUGAUAUGCUCCGGAACAUUUCAUACGCCAUUGAUAUGCUCCAAUUACUCUGUGCUCCAUUUGCUAUGAACUGAUAUGUUCUGAAAUGUCCUAUCUGCCAUUGAUAUGCUCCAAUUACUCUGUGCCCCAUUUGUUAUGAAUCAAAUAUGUUUUGAAUGACAUGAUACUUAUGAUUUUGUAUCUAAUGAGAUGGUAUCCUUGAGAAUUCUUGUAUUCUGCCUUACAUUAUGAUACCUUACUCGUUUGAAACCGUUCCUUUUGUUCUGAAUAUGUUUUGUCACUUGUUGAGCCGUUUUUGGCUCACUCCGUUGUUAUAUAAAUCUUUCAGGUCAGCUUGUCACUCUUCGAGAUGUUUGAUUUGGGAUUGAGGCAGUGGAUAGCUAUUCAGAAUUAUGGGCAAGUCUUGUCGGUUGUUAUGCUAUUGUUGUAUAAGCAUAUUUUGUAUGUAAUGAAUUGUUCUGAUGAUCGAAAUGGAUAUACUGUGUAAAAGUGUUAGAAGAUCUCUGUUAUUUGGAAUUUCGGAAUGUUAAGUCUAAUUUAUGACGAUAUGAACUUGUGAUGAAUAGUUGGAGUUCUGAUUGUAUAAUUUAUUUAGCUUGUGGAUUUAUAAAUGUUGUUCAUGUUUGUCAAGUUGGCUUGGGUUGCCAUAAAUGUGAAAUAUCGAGUGAUGUGAUAUAUGAUUUUAAAAUGCACAGGUUUUAUGGAUGUGAAUUUGAUUGAAUGUUUUUCAGUGUCCUCAAACGUUAGUUUGGAUCCUGGAUUGGUUUGUGACGAAAAGUUUAAAAAUCAUGGAUAUAUUUUGAGGGGACGUGACAGAGGUGGUAUCAGAGCAUGGUUUGAGGAUUACUGAAAUAUUUGAUAUGUUGACGUGUAAAAUAUAUUGAGGUCUAGUGAACUGUAGUGAUCGGUGGAAAUUUUCUUUGAUGCAUUUUAGGAAUCUGGGAUGACGAGGACAUUUGGUCCUCCUAUUUCAUCUGAUUUUGAUUAAUUAAGUGGGAUGAAUGGGGUAAUCGGGGAUAUUGAAUCAGAGUGGCACAGCAUGGUGCACCUAAUCCAUUGGUGGCAGAAAAAUGGAUAAUGCGAAUAGAGAAGAUAUUUGAUGUUCAAAAUUGUUCUGAUGAUUAAACGAUUUCUUUUGCCACCUUAUAUUGGAAGUAGAGGCUGAUCAUUAAUGGGAACAAAAAAAAAAAAUUUGAAGAUCAGUGGCAAGAAUGAUAAGGACAAGUUUACCAAAAAAAAAAAGAUUGAAAAUGAAUCAGAAAGUGAUAACAAGAGGGUCGAGACAUUUGAAUUUGAAAAGGGAAGUCAUCACAAAAGACUCAAUCAUGUGUGAAUUGCAAGUUAAAUUAUGAAACAAGUUUGUGUUGGUGGGUGACUGGAGUCUAUUCGUUUGUAGAAAGUUGGAUCAUAAAACAAAAGACUGCCAUUUGAACAAUAAGAAAGAGUCACUGUCUCAUAAAUCAUCAGCCCAUGUCAGAGUGUAUGCUAUCACUGAAUAUGAUUCUAAAACUUCUGAAUUAGUGAUCAAAGGUAUUAUACAUGUUUAUGAAAGAAUGCAAAUAUUUGUUUGACCAUGGGUCCUAUCUACGAUUUGAUUCGUAACAUGUUGCCUAUCACUUGGGUAUUCAACCUAGACCACUGUAUUAUGUGAUAUAUGUAAGUACAAUCAAUGGAGAUUCUUUGAUAACGAACUUGAAUCUGGUCCUCUUGUCUGAUUUUUGUUGGAGAACUUGAACUUUUGCUGAUUUAGUUCUCCUAGAGAUUUGGAGUUAUGAUAUUAUACUUGGUAUGGAUUGACUAUCUUCUUAUCAUACCAGUAUGGAUUGGUAUAUAACGAAUGAUCACUUUUUGCAUAUUUGAUCAACUGAUCUUUUAUUUUGAGAGUAUUGGACAUUAUUUAUCUCCUUGCCUAAUGUAUCCCAAGAUGACUUGUUUGGAUUACCUGCAAAUGUGAUUUUGCUUUUGAUUUGGUCCUUGGGACAAUCCUAAAAUCUAAGCUUCUCUACAAAAUGAUAUCAUUUGAGUAAGCGGCAUUAGAAAAACAACUACAAGGAUUACUAAAUGAGGAUUUUAUUUGGCUUAAUAUUUUAUCAUGAGGUGCUUUGGUGUUAGUUAAAAAGAUGGAUGGAACAUUGAGGCUUUGUAAUGAUUAUGGAUAGUUGAAUCAGGUGAUCAUCAAAAACGAGUAUUUUCUGAAGUAACGACUUGCUUGAUUAAUUACAAGGUGCGCAAGUAUUUUUAGAAAUUGAUUGAAGGUCGGGUUACCGUCUAUUGAGGAUCAAGGAGGAGAAUAUUUCGGUCACUCGUGAAUAAUUAUGUAAUUGUAUUGUAUUGAUGAAACUAUUUAAGAGUAGGAGGAGGAAAUAAAGAUAUCAUAAUCCUCAUCUUUUCAUCGAUUGAGCUAUGAUCAAUUUAGAGGACUAAAUUUUCUUUUAAGGGGGGGAGAGUGUAAUAUCCCUCGCUUUUAAAAAUUAUUAAUAAAGAUUUAUUUAUAAAUUGGAGGACCUAUAUGUAAAUAUAGAAAUUUCAAAGACUAAACUGUUAAGUUGUAAAAAAAAGUAAAUAAAGAAAAACCGAAAAUUUCGGUUUUAUCCCACCGCCUCCCACGCACUCUCUGUUUCUUCGAGAAACAGAGAGGAGCGGUGGGGCAUGAGGAGUGAAGAAAAGAAGAAGAAGAGGGAAAAGAAGAGAGGAGGAAGAAGAGAGGAAGAAGAGGGAGAAGAGAAGAAGAAGAAGAGGAGGUGGCUGCAGCGUGGGCUGCAGCAAGGAGCUGUGGGGCGUGGGGAGAAGAAGAGAGGAAGAAGAGGGAGAAGAGAAGAAGAAGAAGAAGAAGAAGAAGAAGAAGAAGAAGAGAGGAGGAUAGCUGCGGCAAGGCUGCAGCGAGGAGGUGUGUGGCUUUGGGGAGGAAAAGGGAAGAGGAGAAGAAGAGAAGGAGAAGAAGAGGGAAAAGAGAGGCAGCUGCAGCAGCCAGGGCUGCAGCACCUCUGUUCCCGCAGGUGGAAACAGAGGAGAGGAUGUGUGCGGCGUUGAGGAUGAAAAGGGAAGAAGAAGAAGAAGAAGAAGAAGAAGAAGAUAGCUGCGGCAAGGCUGCAGCGAGGAGAUGUGUGGCCUUGGGGAGGAAAAGGGAAGAGGGGAAGAGGAGAAGAAGAAGAAGAGGAAGAGAAAGAGGUGUGAUACCUCUGUUUCCUGCAGAGGAAACAGAGGAGAGGGUGUGUGUGACGCCGGGGAAGAAGGGGCUGCAGCUGCGGCGAUGGCAGCUGCAGCUGGAAGAGAAGAAGAAGAGGAAGAUGAGCAGGGGAGGAGGGAGAGGUUGCGGCCGUGGCUGCGGCCGCGACUGCAGCAGUUGCAGCGGGGAGAGAAGAAGAAGAAAGGAAGGAGAAGGAAGAGGAGAAGGGAAAGAAGUAGCUGCGGCUGCGGUUGUGGCAGCUGCAGCUAUGGCAGGGAAAGAGGAAGAGAAAAAGGAAAGGAAGAAGAAGAGAAAGGGAAGGAGAGGAAGAAGAGAGGAAGAGGAGAAGGGGCUGCGGCUGCGGCGAUGGCAGCUGCAGCUGUGGCAGGGAAAGAGAAAAAGGAAAGGAAGAAGAAGAGAAAGGGAAGGAGAGGAAGAAGAGAAAGGGAAGGAGAGGAAGAAGAGAGGAAGAGGAGAAGGGGCUGCGGCUGCGGUGAUGGCAGCUGCAGCUGUGGCUGGGAAAGAAGAGAAGGAAAGGAAGAAGAAGAGAAAGGGAAGGAGAGGAAGAAGAGAGGAAGAGGAGAAGGGGUGGCAGCUGCGGUAGUGGCAGCUGCAGUUGGAAGAGAAGUAGGAGAGGAAAUAGAGUAGCAGAGGAAGUAGAGGCUGCGGUUGUGGUGGCUGCGGCCAUGGCUGCGACUGUGACUGCGGCAGUUGCAGCCGGGAAAGAAAGGAAAGGAAAGGAGAAAAAAAGGGGCUGCGGACGGGAUUGCGGCCGCAGCGGCAGCGACUGCGUAUGCAGCAGUUAUGUCUGCGAGAGAAGGGAAGAAGGAAAUAGUACAGUAGAAGGGGGCUGCGGUUGUGACCGCAGUUGCGGUCGUGGCUGCGAUUGUGGCAGCGGCAGCGGCGGCGACUGUGGCAGCUGCGUUUGGGAAAGAAAAAGAAGGAAUGAGAGUAAGAGAGAGCAGGUGACUGUGCCUCGAUGUUCGACACGUGAUGUAGUUACGAAGAAAGGAAGAAAACGGGAGCACAAAACGAAACAGAGAGAGGACACGGAGGAAAAGUAGAAAGAUUGGAUUGGCACCUUCCUUGGAUAUUCAGAUCAAAAUAUUUGAAAGGUCAGCUUGUCACUCUUCGAGAUGUUUGAUUUGGGCUGAGGCAGUGGAUAGCUAUUCAGAAUUAUGGGCAAGUCUUGUCGGUUGUUAUGCUAUUGUUGUAUAAGCAUAUUUUGUAUGUAAUGAAUUGUUCUGAUGAUCGAAAUGGAUAUACUGUGUAAAAGUGUUAGAAGAUCUCUGUUAUUUGGAAUUUCGGAAUGUUAAGUCUAAUUUAUGACGAUAUGAACUUGUGAUGAAUAGUUGGAGUUCUGAUUGUAUAAUUUAUUUAGCUUGUGGAUUUAUAAAUGUUGUUCAUGUUUGUCAA